UCACUACCUCUUUCCUAUGAUCCAUUGGUGACGAUGCUACUCUACGGCAAGGAGACCUUGGAGUAUGAAGACAUGGUCUCGGUGCUGCGGUCCAACAAACAGUGAGAGAAGUUGACCAAAAAAGGUGCACCCUAAGAAGGCUUGGCCAUAGGGGAGAGAUCAGAAAGGAAAGAGAAAGAGGCAAGUCAAGGGGACGGUCAAAGUCUCAAAAGAGCAGGAGCAGGAAGGAAGCCAGGUGCUACAAGUGCAACG
rnacentral:lncRNA from 1 species